GCGGUCGUGGUGGAAUUGGCAGACACGCUAUCUUGAGGGGGUAGUGCCCGUAAGGGCGUGUGGGUUCAAGUCCCACCGACCGCA
rnacentral:tRNA from 1 species